rnacentral:SRP_RNA from 1 species
GGCCGGAACCGGCGCAACGAGACCCCCGCCAACCCCGUCAGGUCCGGAAGGAAGCAGCGGUACGCGGACGAGGCCGUGUCGCCGUCUCUUCUGGUCGAU